rnacentral:rRNA from 1 species
UACGGGGGGGGCAAGCGUUGUUCGGAAUUACUGGGCGUAAAGGGCUCGUAGGCGGCCAACUAAGUCAGACGUGAAAUCCCUCGGCUUAACCGGGGAACUGCGUCUGAUACUGGUUGGCUUGAAUCCGGGAGAGGGAUGUGGAAUUCCAGGUGUAGCGGUGAAAUGCGUAGAUAUCUGGAGGAACACCGGUGGCGAAGGCGGCAUCCUGGACCGGUAUUGACGCUGAGGAGCGAAAGCCAGGGGAGCAAACGGGAUUAGAUACCCCGGUAGUCCUGGCCCUAAACGAUGAAUGCUUGGUGUGGCGGGUAUCGAUCCCUGCCGUGCCGAAGCUAACGCAUUAAGCAUUCCGCCUGGGGAGUACGGUCGCAAGGCUGAA